AUUGAACGCUGGCGGCAGGCUUAACACAUGCAAGUCGAGCGGAGAUGAGGUGCUUGCACCUUAUCUUAGCGGCGGACGGGUGAGUAAUGCUUAGGAAUCUGCCUAUUAGUGGGGGACAACAUUCCGAAAGGAAUGCUAAUACCGCAUACGUCCUACGGGAGAAAGCAGGGGAUCUUCGGACCUUGCGCUAAUAGAUGAGCCUAAGUCGGAUGAGCUAGUUGGUGGGGUAAAGGCCUACCAAGGCGCCGAUCUGUAGCGGGUCUGAGGGGAUGGUCCGCCACACUGGGACUGGGCAACGGCCCGGACUCCUACGGGAGGCAGCAGUGGGGAAUAUUGGACAAUGGGGGGAACCCUGAUCCAGCCAUGCCGCGUGUGUGAAGAAGGCCUUAUGGUUGUAAAGCACUUUAAGCGAGGAGGAGGCUACUGAGACUAAUACUCUUGGAUAGUGGACGUUACUCGCAGAAUAAGCACCGGCUAACUCUGUGCCAGCCGCCGCAGUAAAAC
rnacentral:rRNA from 1 species